ACGGCCGCAGAUCCCGGCAACUUGCGAGCCGGGAAAAGUUUGCGGCGCCUCCGCGGGGCGGCGCGACGCGGCCCGUACCUCGCGUCCGCGGUCAUCGCGGGUGACUUUCUCGACUCGUCGUCAGCCGGGGCCGCUGCGCGGCCGGCGGGGACUGCGGGGCGGGCCGGAGUCCGUCCGAGGGCUCCCGCACCUCGGGCUGCGGCAUCAGACAUGUUGGCAUCAUCUCUUAGUUGGGCCCUGUGGCCAGGGAACCUUUCAUGAAACCACCUCUGCAGUCCUGGAGAGUUGCUGUAGAAGAAGGAAAAGAGAAGAAGACAACACAACACAGGAGGGGAUAAGUACCUCUGGACACAAUGGAAGUAGUAGUUGUUGAGCAGAGGGAAAGGGAUAGGAGAAGGAUGUGGACUGCAGUGCGGCAGUGCCAGGUAAUAACUUUGAUCAUGUACCUCCU
rnacentral:lncRNA from 1 species